ACCACCCUAACACCACCCUAACACCACCCUAACACCACCUUCAUCUCCACUAUAGGUCAGUCAACACCACCCUAACACCACCCUAACACCACCUUCAUCUCCACUAUAGGUCGAGUCAACACCACCCUAACACCACCCUAACACCACCUUCAUCUCCACUAUAGGUCAGUUAACACCACCCUAACACCACCUUCAUCUCCACUAUAGGUCAGUCAACACCACCCUAACACCACCCUAACACCACCUUCAUCUCCACUAUAGGUCAGUUAACACCACCCUAACACCACCUUCAUCUCCACUAUAGGUCAGUUAACACCACCCUAACACCACC